rfam:Pseudomonadales bacterium RIFCSPHIGHO2_02_FTLL_60_43 rifcsphigho2_02_scaffold_52767, whole genome shotgun sequence.
AACCACGGACGACCGUGGUGCAGACCGAAUACCGCGGGACGGCCCGC